GAUUAGAUUUACGGCAUAUGUGCUACCUAUAUCUUGCGAUUUUCAUACCCACAUAAAUACCUUCAAAUUGAAAUAUUUGAGAUAUUGUAUACCUGCUUAUCUUGUUUCGUUUAAUUUCCUCCUCUGAAAUAAGGGGAACUUUGGCUGACCCGACAUUUUGUCAACGUUUGUCAUAAGUUGAGUCUGAAUACUUCCAAACAAUCCAGAUGAUUGAUUUCUUCAACUGAUUUGGAGCAAACUUCAUCAGAUAUCUAUAUUCUUCGAAAUUUUGAAAGGACUCAGAAAAAGGUCAGAUCUGAUUCAAACUUUAUAACCUUUCAUUGGACGAGAUUUAGGAAUACUAGUAAAAGGAUUGCUUGUUGACGCUGGUAACGUAGGUAGUGAUGAAGUCGUUGGAGGACAACAAACCAUAGGAACUAAACCAACAAAUCCACACUGAGACUGUCUGAGAAAAUUAGCAUCGGCUGAAGAAAGUGGUCUUUUCUGUAGAAUGAAGUAUAAAGCGGUACAUUUCUCUAUUAUGAUACAUUUUCCUAUCUCGUUAUUUGGCGUUCUGCAUGGAGGAUCUGGAAGCAAGAAAAUAAAACUGAAAUAACCUAAGUCAAGUUUUUGAUAGCUUCUGUUCUAACUAGAAGGAAAUUCAUUAUUACAUGAAAUAAUACAAAUCUCCACACCUCAAGGGCGUAGAAAUAGGGGGGUACUGGGGGUAAUUGAUUAAGUUAAUAAAUGAGGUGUAAUAAUAAAUUAUGAUUAUUGGUGGGAUUUCAAAUGAAUUCUUUACUUCCAUGAAACGAAUAUUUUUUUGUCCAUAUGGCCAAUAAAUGAUUUAUUAAAUA